rnacentral:rRNA from 1 species
GCCUUAGUAACGGCGAGUGAAGCGGCAAUAGCUCAAAUUUGAAAUCUGUCUCUUUUAGAGUCCGAGUUGUAAUUUGUAGAGGAUGUUUCGGCUUACGCCCCGGUUUAAGUUCCUUGGAACAGGACGUCAUAGAGGGUGAGAAUCCCGUUUAUGGCCGGCGGCUUCCGCUAUGUGAAACUCCUUCGACGAGUCGAGUUGUUUGGGAAUGCAGCUCUAAAUGGGAGGUAAAUUUCUUCUAAAGCUAAAUACUAGCCAGAGACCGAUAGCGCACAAGUAGAGUGAUCGAAAGAUGAAAAGCACUUUGGAAAGAGAGUUAAAAAGUACGUGAAAUUGUUGAAAGGGAAGCGCUUGCGACUAGACUUGUCUUCAGUUGCUCCGCCGGUCCUUCGACCGGUGUAUUCUUCUGUUGUCAGGCCAGCAUUAGUUCGGGUGGUUGGAUAAAGGCUUUGGGAAUGUGACUCUCUUCGGGGAGUGUUAUAGCCCUUUGUGUAAUACAGCCUACCUGGACUAAGGACCGCGCUUCGGCUAGGAUGCUGGCGUAAUGGUCGUAAGCGGCCCGUCUUGAAACACGGACCAAGGAGUCUAACAUCUAUGCGAGUGUUUGGGUGUCAAACCCGUGCGCGUAAUGAAAGUGAACGGAGGUGGGAACCUUUUAGGUGCACCAUCGACCGAUCCUGAUGUCUUCGGAUGGAUUUGAGUAAGAGCAUAGCUGUUGGGACCCGAAAGAUGGUGAACUAUGCCUGAAUAGGGUGAAGCCAGAGGAAACUCUGGUGGAGGCUCGCAGCGGUUCUGACGUGCAAAUCGAUCGUCAAAUUUAGGCAUAGGGGCGAAA